GGAAAAGUAAGGGGAUCGAUAAUUUCAAGUCCCAACCUGUACGGGCGUGUGCACUGCCCUUUAAAGGAAACAUUUGCAGGCUCAAUUCUCGUCGUUUCGUGUACUAAUCCUGAUGGCCAGCAAUGGUAUGCCCUCUUCUCGAGUUUGCUGCCAGCCUCGUUAAGCGCUCUUACAAGUUUCGGCAUCAACGUUUCCGGCAUAACAGAUAUACACGCCCAUCACUACACCUAUAUAUUCGAAGAUAUGCGUUAGGAGUCUUUGGUAAGUAAAUUCGUUUCAU